GCGGAAUGGAGGGAUUUAAAACGCCCAUCCUUUUAAAAAACAUGAACCGUUUCAAGUACAGAGUUUGACAGAGGGUAGACGAAGAGGAAUCAAUUCUGGACCAGAGGAUGUCUCCCUGCCUUUGCCCUGCCUGCCUCCCCCCACAUCCUUCUCUGGCAAGGGGAAUGAGGCUGAGAAUGACCUCCAUCCGCAGGACGAGAUUCUCUAGGAAACAAGAAAUCAAAUCUCCGGGGACUAUCCAGGUGGGAAAUGGAAAUAAAUGAUAAACAUACGAAUACAUCGAUUCUGUUUCCUAUUGGUUGGGAGUGGGCUUUUUUAUGAUCUUGUUAGUAUUCCAGAUUUAUGAAUUCUAAAAAAUUGAGAGACUAUUUGAAAUAUUUAAAUGCAUUUUAAAGCCUGUGCGUGGGAAAUGGAGCUGUCACCUCACAAGAUCCAAAGUGUCUUUAACAACCCCUGCUCUGCUCCGGGAGGGCUCUGCCGUUCGGGACCCAGGCUCCGUCAGAGCAGCAGGAGCUGCAGAACUACAGCUGGAUCGGGGGAUGGACCUACCCCACCCUGGGCUGUCACUGGGGGGCCCAGUGUUAUCCCAGAGGAACUGCUGCCUGGACCACUGUCCUUGAGUAUGUCUGCAAGCAUGCCACAGAAAUCACUAGAUGGCGGAUGCUAGCCCUGUUCCAUUAAAAGCAAGUGCCCACCCCGUCUCUACUAAAAAUAAAAAAUUAGCCAGGCAUGGUGUUGGAUGCCUGUGGUCCCAGCUGUUCAGGAGGCUGAGGCAGGAGAAUGGCGUGAACCCGGGAGGCGGAGCUUGCAGUAAGCCAAGAUCGCGCCACUGCACUCCGGCCUGGGUGACAGAGCGAGACUCCAUCUCAAAAAAAAGCAGGUGCCCAGCACGGUGUCUUGCUCAUAGCUCACAAAUGGAUCCAUCUUUCCCUGCUCUUCCAGAAGUGGCAUACAAAGAGUAGGAGCCCGUCCACCUUGGGGGUCGGAGAGGGUGUGAUCGGGAGUGCGUGGCCUGUAGAGAAUUUUAAAACAAAACCAACUCAAAAUCAAUCUGCUUUUCAUUCUCACCACAUGUGAUUCUACACAGUGCCACGGAUAACAUAUGCCUCCCCCUCAAUCUCUUUGUUGGUCUAAUUUCUGGACAAUUGCCACAGUUACUGUUGAGUUUUAAUAAUAUCGCUAUGGAUUAGCACAUUGAAUGACUUGUCCUCUAAAAUAGUCUUCGAUGCGGAGGUUAAUUUGGAGACGUCCCUGUUGUGUAAUCGACCCCAACACUCAGGGACCCAGAAGCACGUGUUCAUGUGAAGAGGAAGUCUGCCAAGAUUCUGAAUCACUAGGGCUCAGUUGGUGUGGAGUUCAGGUCCCCAUCCCCUGUGGCAUUGCAUAUUACAUAUCAACUGUGUUUAGUAGAUUCAAAAUAAACAAUAGCACAGUCAUUAUGAAGACAAAGAGAAUUUGAAUUACUUUAAUUCUGCCUUUCCUUGUGACCACUUGGAGUUUUUAUUUUACAAUUAAAACAGCAAAACAAAAGAACAGAGAAGUGUCAUGUUUUGUUCCAUAUGUGCAAAUGUUAGUGUAUACGAGAGAGAUUUUACUGCAUUCAAACAGUAUCUGUUGCAUCAUGGUGAUAGAAAAUGAUUUUGUCUAUAGAGG
rnacentral:lncRNA from 1 species